CCCUUAGAUGUUCUGGGCUGCACGCGCGCUACACUGAAGCGUUCAACGAGUAUUCACCUUGCCCGGGAGGGUUGGGUAAUCUUUUGAAAACGCUUCGUGAUGGGGAUAGAUUAUUGCAAUUAUUAAUCUUCAACGAGGAAUUCCUAGUAAGCGCGAGUCAUCAGCUCGUGCUGAUUACGUCCCUGCCCUUUGUACACACCGCCCGUCGCUCCUACCGAUUGAAUGGUCCGGUGAAAUGUUCGGACCGCGACAAGGCGGACGGUUCGCUGUCAGCUUUGCUGCGGGAAGUUCAUUAAACCUUAUCAUUUAGAGGAAGGAGAAGUCGUAACA
rnacentral:rRNA from 1 species